CCAGGCUUAUGAAACCAACACAGGUACCAUCCGAAUAACAUCCAGUGUCCCCAGUUGAGAAAAGGCCUGGGCGUCCUGGGACGGUAUCAACAUUUGAAAGGAAGCCAGGCUCACAGAUUUUACCUAAAAACCAGGGAUUUCAAGAAGUAUGAUCAGAAGUGGUGAUGUUGACAAUCUGGCUGGUACCGAAGACCCUUUUUAUAGACAAAUCACAGCAAACUGUACCCAACUGACAUUGAUCCAGCUGCCCCCAAGACUGAUGUAAUCACUGGCGGCAGAACGUGAGAAGGGUCCUAGUGAGAGCAAGCUCUAUGUUCCCAUGCUUUGCAGUUUGAAUCAUUCCUCAGCGCUCUGGUCUCAGCCUAUUCUGGUACUUAUGACGAG
rnacentral:lncRNA from 1 species